CCAAGUUCUAAACAACCCUUUGGAUUACUCCUCCCUGAGUGCUCCCGUGUGCACGCGCGAUGCACGUGGCAACUCCCAGAUUUCUCUCUUUUACCCGUUUCCAAAUGAGUGACACACAUCACACAAGGCCUGCGCUUGCUCAGCAUUUCCGCCUGAGUUGACAUAGUGUGGUGAGGAUUGAUGCCGAGAAAAGAUUUCUCCUUUUCUACAAGAAAGUGGAGCUGUGACCUCAGUUUGUUCCCAGGCGGGAAGGGGGACAAGACCAUCUUUGUUUUCCCUCCUUCUCUGGGGGUCAGUGGCUUUAGAGAGGCCUCAUUAGCCCCUAUUCUGGUCCCCAGAGCUGUGACUGCUGAAGUGAAUACGGAAGGAACAUGCAUUAUUGCUGUUGUCUGGGGAGUUAAAACCAACCGAAAAAAAUGGCACUUAGAUUAGAAAAUGUGGAGAGAGGAGACAGGAAGACUCUUGAGAGAUGAAGGGCAGUCACUCCAGAGAUCCAGGGCCGCAGUGAAAGCGACUCCAUGUGGCCGGCACAGAUUUGGAAAGAAAAAAAAAAGGAAAAAAAAAAAAAAGUCUUUUAUCCAGGAAGAUGGUCUUGUUCUUUCCAGUUACUUCUGUGUUACACCAGCAAGGCUCAUAACUGCCUUGUAUGCCUUAUACGGUCUUGCUUUAGCCCCUCUGCGAUCUCCUUUGCAUGGAUCUGCAACCAGGUGGUCAGCUGGCCCGAGCAAGUGGCUCUGGGGCCCUUAGACUCAGGCACCAAAGCCACCAAAGCCUCAGCUCCCCAUGCUCCACGGCAGCCACUCUCUCACUGACUUGGCCUUGGGUCCUGGAUUCAUAGGAGAAGGCAUUCAACGACCCUUGACAAAGAGAACCCAUUGAACCAAAGCUCCAGGGGUGUUGGGACAUUUGAUUUGAGGUAAGCAGCCACUCUGCGGAGUUAGGGUUCUCAUGUGAAGCUUUUCCAAAAUCCAAGGAGCAGCCAAGGAUCCUUUGAAAAGCAAAAUGGAAUUCCUGGGGCAAACAAAGAGAUGAACGCAGACAGCACUCAUUCACCUUGUUCUCUGAAGAAACAUCUGAACUGCCUGGCCUCUCUGUGGCUCCCCAGUUCACGGUUUCUCAGGAUAUGGGAUAUGCUGGAAGCAGAAAGGAGAUGUCUAUAAAUGUGUGUCAUUCAUGUCACGUUUACUACAGAGAAACAAGGCACCUCUGCCGACAUGGAGCACUAGGAGCCUGCAGCAGACCUGCCCCUGCCUGCCCUUGGUCCUGGGCAGCCCCACCUAGACCCUCGGAGGGCUCUUCCCUCAGGCACAUGGGGUCCUCCCCUGAUGCCGUUCCAUGCACGGCCCCUCUCUGAUCGCUGAGACCUUAUCCUCAUAACCGUCAUGGGACUGGAUGCAAAACCUUCCACUUGCAACACUAAGGGAUGGCUUUUCUAUUUUAUGACUGUUUUUUCAAUGACAUUUUUUUUUAAAGAUUUGUGUAUUUAUUUCAGAGACAGAAAGAGAGAAAGAGAGCAUGAGCAGGUGGGGCAGAGGAAGAGGGAGAGAGAAACUCUCCAGCGUGGAGCCCAACGUGGGCCUCGAUCUCACGGCCAUGAGAUCACAACUGGAGCAGAAACCAAGUGUCAGAUAGAUGCUCCACCGACCGUGCCACCCAGGUGCUCCUAUUUUAUGACUGUUGGGCAUAAAUGGUCACCCUGCAAACAUCUGAAAUCAGUCUCAAAAUGCCUCAAGCAAACCCGACGCCUCUUGUAAGGGCAGAGCCUGAACCAAGGAAGCGUUCUCCUUGACAUGCUGAGAUGUCUUCGUACAGAAAAUUCUUCCUGAUAAUAAAAUUGCUGACAAAUGUUUAUGCUCAUUUAUAAACCGUGUUUUACAGAAACUGAAAUCCAUUUCCUUUUCUUCUCCCCUCCAAAGGACUCUGGCAAAGUUAAUACAAAAAAAAAAAAAAAAACAAAAAAAAAAAACACCUUGUAAGACGGAACAGAUUAUUCAUUAUUAAUAAGACCUGAAAGCCAAAGACCCAUGUGUUAAUCUUUUAGUAAACUGCAAAUGUUUCCACAUGUGCAUUGAUGAACUGUACGUGCUUUGAUUUUCGGCAAAUGUUACGGAAGCGAAGAGAACAGAAAAGAAAGAAACAAGAUAACAGGAAAAAAAAGACUUUUGGGGGGAAAAGCAUUGUGUUUGUGCACGUCAUCUCCUUUUGCAAUAACAACUGGCAUUUUCUUGGAUGAUCACUGUAUUUUGAAACGUUACCAUAAACAAUGUAUGUUGGGAAAAUUUUA